rnacentral:tRNA from 1 species
AAGGGUAUAGCUCAGUGGUAGAGGGCAUGCUUAGCAAGCAUGAGGUCCUGGGUUCAAUCCUCAGUACCUCCA